rnacentral:lncRNA from 1 species
CCCUCCCCCAGUGGACCAUGUCUUAACAGAACUCUACACUAUGACCCGUCCAUCUUGGGUGGCCCUGCAUGGCAAGUCUCUUAACUUUGUUGAAGUUAUACAAGCCCCUUUGCCAUGAGAAGGCUAUGAUCCAGGAAGGGGACUGUUAAACGUGGUGGGAUCCCAUUCCACACCACACUUUGGGAAAUUUUUUUGGUCAUUAUGAUAUAACUUGCCUUCUAGAAUCCUUGCCUUAUACUACAAAAUUCUUAUGGUGUGGUUUUUGUUCUCAUGGACUCAAGAUGGUGCCUCUAUGUCCUCUAGACACUACACAAUCAUUCCAGGCAAGAGGAAGAGAUAAGGACAACACUAGCUAAGAUCCAGUGUCUGCCAGGCAAAGUUGCUAGAGGUGCAUUCCUGGAAGCUCCCACCCCCAGGUGAUGUCAGACCUCACGUGACCCAACUACCACGCAAUGGGAUGCAUGACGUCAUUUCAGGAUGUGAGUCCUAAUGCAGAGCUUGCUGCUGCUGCCACUGCUAUGAAUAACAAGCCAUCACCGUAGGCAGAGUCAACUUUGCACAGGUCAGCGGUCAAGGCUGAGUAGACAAUAGACUCAUCUGAAGGUCACAUUGCCCCCACCCUAAUGAAGGGACCUUGGUGGCAGGUUACACAACAUAUUCAACAUUCAUGAAACAUUCUGCAAUUGCAGAUCUGAAAUGAAAGCAAGGU